AAGUCGUAACAAGGUUUCCGUAGGUGAACCUGCGGAAGGAUCAUUAAGGAGAUGUGUGAGGGGCUGAAAGGCGCCGAGCAUAUUGAGAGGGUGUGGUUUUGAUGAGGGGGUUGUGCAGUUGAGAAACUGCGCACUCCUUUUCACUAUUCAUUGACGAUCUUCAACCACGUAUUGAGCAAGUGAUUACGACACACAACUGUCACCGGUGGAUCUCUUGGCUCGU
rnacentral:misc_RNA from 1 species